rnacentral:rRNA from 1 species
GACGAACGCUGGCGGCGUGCCUAAUACAUGCAAGUCGAACGCUUCUUUCCUCCCGAGUGCUUGCACUCAAUUGGAAAGAGGAGUGGCGGACGGGUGAGUAACACGUGGGUAACCUACCCAUCAGAGGGGGAUAACACUUGGAAACAGGUGCUAAUACCGCAUAACAGUUUAUGCCGCAUGGCAUAAGAGUGAAAGGCGCUUUCGGGUGUCGCUGAUGGAUAGACCCGCGGUGCAUUAGCUAGUUGGUGAGGUAACGGCUCACCAAGGCCACGAUGCAUAGCCGACCUGAGAGGGUGAUCGGCCACACUGGGACUGAGACACGGCCCAGACUCCUACGGGAGGCAGCAGUAGGGAAUCUUCGGCAAUGGACGAAAGUCUGACCGAGCAACGCCGCGUGAGUGAAGAAGGUUUUCGGAUCGUAAAACUCUGUUGUUAGAGAAGAACAAGGACGUUAGUAACUGAACGUCCCCUGACGGUAUCUAACCAGAAAGCCACGGCUAACUACGUG